CCGCCGAGGGACGGAAGGGCCCGCGUUCCCCGACCCUCCGACGAUUCCCGAGGAACAGCCCCUCCUUAACAGUAGUGUACAUGUGCCCAGGACACCUCGGGCCCGUUCAGGACAACGUAGAGUCCCGAGGAAAACGAAGGGUCAUCAGGGGCCACCUCGGAGCCGCGCCGGUGGUUGUAGGCGCCGGGCACGGCGCCACAGGCGGCCCGCUGCGAACUGCCUGCGCGCGCCCUACCCACCACAGGGGUGGGCCUGGACCCCCACUUCCGGGCGCGCCUGUUGACUCCCCGGGUCCCAAGCUCCCGCAGCCCCGCCUCUGGUCUCUCCACCCAUUGGCCAAGUCUCUUAGGCUACGCCCCCUCGGGAAACUACGGCUGCGCGUCGGAUACGGCAGCGGCCAAUCGGAGCUGCUCUUGUUGCAGGGCGCUUGGUCGGCCGUCGGUCGGAAGUACGGCGAGAUCGCAGUCGGGUUGUGCAGCUCUGGUCCCCCAGCGCUUGUUUUGGCUCAGGCCGGGGGCUAGUUGCCCGAACUGUCGCAGGCAGAGUGGGAGCGCGAGGCCGAGCUCAAGAGCCGCCAGCUCAGGUCGGUCCGUCCGUUUCCAGGGGGUGCUGCGUCCUUUCCGCCCGCGGGGUCUGGUUCCGGUUCCUCUCCAGUCCCCGAGUAUGAGGUCCGGGCCGUCUACGCCCGCGGGGACAGGGAUCUUAUGGGGUGGCUGUUCAAGGAGGAUCCGACCUGGAUCCUCUACCCCUCGGGGUUGAGUCCAGGUUUUCCACCACGGGGUCCGGGGUCUUCUCAGCCAUCCUCGGUGCUGACCUUUCAAAGCUGUUUCCUGCAGGGAACGUCAUGGGUUUCCUGACCGCAGUGACUCAAGGCUUGGUGCGGGGAGCAGACAGGAUGAGCAAGUGGACCAGUAAACGAGGGCCGCGCACCUUUAACAAGGGACGGGGCGCCAAGGGCACAGGCAUCCGUGCCUCAGGCUGGAAGUUUGUGCAGAUAAAGGAAAAGGUCCCAGAAUUUGUUGUCCCAGACUUGACUGGCUUCAAGCUCAAGCCCUAUGUGAACUACCGAGCUCCUGCAGGCACAGACACACCACUCACUGCCAAAGCACUCUUCCUGGAAACAGUUGCACCUGCUAUCCAAAAGGACUUUAAAGAAGGCACUUUCAGUCCUGACAACCUGGAAAAGUACGGCUUUGAGCCCACACAGGAGGGCAAGCUCUUCCAGCUGUAUCCCAAGAACUUCCCACGUUAGAAACUUGGAACUAGAGGCUGCUCUGACCCAGCCUGGGAUCUUGAGUUCCUGGAGGAGUAGGGGGCAGUUUCUCC
rnacentral:lncRNA from 1 species